rnacentral:rRNA from 1 species
GUAGGGAAUAUUGGGCAAUGGUCGGAAGACUGACCCAGCCAUGCCGCGUGCAGGAAGACGGCCCUCUGGGUUGUAAACUGCUUUUAUCUGGGAAGAAAAAGGCCAUGCGUGGCAAAUUGCCGGUACCAGAUGAAUAAGCACCGGCUAACUCCGUGCCAGCAGCCGCGAUAAUACGGAGGGUGCGAGCGUUGUCCGGAUUUAUUGGGUUUAAAGGGUGCGUAGGCGGCUGAUUAAGUCAGCGGUGAAAGACUUCGGCUUAACCGGGGCAGUGCCGUUGAUACUGGUUGGCUUGAGUGUCGGAGGGGUACAUGGAAUUGAUGGUGUAGCGGUGAAAUGCAUAGAUACCAUCAGGAACACCGAUAGCGAAGGCAUUGUACUGGCCGACAACUGACGCUGAUGCACGAAAGUGUGGGGAUCGAACAGGAUUAGAUACCCGUGUAGUCC